GACGAACGCUGGCGGCGUGCCUAAUACAUGCAAGUCGAACGAGAGCAACCGGUGCUUGCACUGGUCAAUCUAGUGGCGAACGGGUGAGUAACACGUGGGUAACCUGCCCAUCAGAGGGGGAUAACAUCCGGAAACGGAUGCUAAAACCGCAUAGGUCUUCGAACCGCAUGGUUUGAAGAGGAAAAGAGGCGCAAGCUUCUGCUGAUGGAUGGACCCGCGGUGCAUUAGCUAGUUGGUGAGGUAACGGCACCAAGGCCGUGAUGCAUAGCCGACCUGAGAGGGUGAUCGGCCACAUUGGGACUGAGACACGGCCCAAACUCCUACGGGAGGCAGCAGUAGGGAAUCUUCCGCAAUGGACGCAAGUCUGACGGAGCAACGCCGCGUGAGUGAAGAAGGUUUUCGGAUCGUAAAACUCUGUUGUUAGAGAAGAACAAGUGCUAGAGUAACUGUUAGCGCCUUGACGGUAUCUAACCAGAAAGCCACGGCUAACUACGUG
rnacentral:rRNA from 1 species